GGGAAGAGCCAGCUCGGGGUCAUUAACGAGUACCCCAUCCCAGUUUUGAGGACGCUGCCUGGAGCCGCCAGUGGAGAAGUCCCCCCGGCGCUCGGCGUUCGGCAGACUUACCUCUCCCUGGAGGUCCUGGUCUGGACUCGAUGAAAUGUACUUUCUUAGCACAGCGAUGCCCUGUCGCCUGUCAUCUGCCUGGUGGUUUGUGCUUUCAUCAAAUAAGAACAAAGGCUGAGCAGGCUUUUGCAUUUGAAAACCCCUUGGUGUUUUAUUUUCUCCCUGCUCCCUCUCAGCAGCUCUUGGAAAAGAAGUGUUUUGUGGCUGAAAGGUUCACCGUUGGUGGAACAGUGCCAUCCACACUGCACGCCCAGCCUCUGGGCUGGCCUCCUCCUCCUCAACCGUGCUGCGGGAGAGUUGACCUAGCUCAGUGAGAGGACUUGGGUUACUGGUAUCUGACCAGGUUACAGGCUUAAUGUGCUAAGUGUGCGUGAAAGCGUGCAAGGCCGACUCUGCAAACCUUGGAGAAAUCUGGCAUCACAAGCAAGAUCAGAAACCCAGCAACUCCUUUUGGCCAAGGAACUGGAAAACUGGAUGGAGAACCUCAGCCUGCUCCAACCGAGAGUCGGCUGGUUUGAGGCGCAUGGUAGGUAGAGGCCCCAUAGGCAGAGACCCAAGAAGCCGCCUCUGGUCCCUUACUUCUCUGCCCCUUCCCCCACCCCUUGCUGGUUCUUUAGGCUGUGAGGAUGGAUUACACUUCAGCAUGCCCAAGCAUCACGACAUCAAUUCAUCAAUAAGUGAUUACUGGGCACUUUGACUCUUUAAGGUCUCAGGUAUCCUCGGCCCGGGCGCUCUGUGAUAGGAAAGCUUCAGCCCACGUAGGGUUCAGUGCAUCCCACUCUUUCUAUUCCUCUACCCACUGUCUUCUUGGUUUUAUCUGGUUCUCCCACGUCCCCCCAGGGCUCGGUCCUGGCGCAUCCCAGGCCCCCAGGAGUGGGUUCUGAAGGCCAAGUAGGAAGGGACGAGAUUGCUGGUAGAUGCAGCCAGAGCCCUCUGUGGAGGACCCAAAGGAGACGCCCGCCUUGACCCGGCUGGGGAUUCUUGCUGCUUUACAGUCACCUGGUUUGACAUAAAAAUGACCGUCCCAGGGGCCGGCCCGGUGGCGCAGCGGUUAAGUUCGCACGUUGCGCUUCUCGGCGGCCCGGGGUUCGCUGGUUCGGAUCCCGGGUGCGUACAUGGCACUGCUUGGCAGCCAUGCUGUGGUAGGCGUCCCACGUAUAAACUAGAGGAAGAUGGGCACGGAUGUUAGCUCAGAGCCAGGCUUCCUCAGCAAAAAGAGGAGGACUGGCAGUAGUUAGCUGAGGGCUAAUCUUCCUCCAAAACAAAAAACAAAACAAAACAAAAAACAAAAAAAAAAUGACCGUCCCACAGUUUCAUCAGCUGCCUUCCUCACUGCUUAUCCAAAUGACUCUCGGUAGUUUAACGAGUUUAGGUGUCCCUGUAGCGUACGGAUGGCCCAGCCCUGGGGAUGCUCAGUGGACUGUGUCUUGGGCUCUGAGCACUGUUCUUCAAGACAGCAGCAGCAGCUGCAUCUCUGGAAUCUGUGUGUGACUUCCCCAGAGGGCCACACUCUGCUGGCUGAGUUAGAAAUGGGUGGUUACACUUCACUGCCAGCAAGCCCAGGGCUGGGUGAGCUGGUGGAUGCUUUGAGCCUGCCCUUGGCCUGGACGCUGCAAGCUGGAGAUCAGGCAGGGUGGGCCUCCCUGCUCAGCACUCACACUUUGACGUUUGGGUUGAGGCCGAUGCACGUGGGAAAGCAGUCAGAGUCCUGGAGUCGGAGGAACUGAAUCAGACACAUUUUCUUCUCUUCUGGGAAUACAUUUGGGGUCACUGGCUUUUGGGAUGCUUUUGCCAAGAGGGGAAGCCUCAGAAUUGUCC
ensembl:lncRNA